rnacentral:rRNA from 1 species
CCCAAGAGAUCGGGAUAACACCUGGAAACAGAUGCUAAUACCGGAUAACAACAGAUGAUGCCUAUCAACUGUUUAAAAGAUGGUUCUGCUAUCACUCUUGGAUGGACCUGCGGUGCAUUAGCUAGUUGGUAGGGUAACGGCCUACCAAGGCGAUGAUGCAUAGCCGAGUUGAGAGACUGAUCGGCCACAUUNGGGACUGAGACACGGCCCAAACUCCUACGGGAGGCAGCAGCU